UAGGGAAUCUUCGGCAAUGGACGAAAGUCUGACCGAGCAACGCCGCGUGAGUGAAGAAGGUUUUCGUAUCGUAAAACUCUGUUGUUAGAGAAGAACAAGGACGUUAGUAACUGAACGUCCCCUGACGGUAUCUAACCAGAAAGCCACGGCUAACUACGUGCCAGCAGCCGCGGUAAUACGUAGGUGGCAAGCGUUGUCCGGAUUUAUUGGGCGUAACGCGAGCGCAGGCGGUUUCUUAAGUCUGAUGUGAAAGCCCCCGGCUCAACCGGGGAGGGUCAUUGGAAACUGGGAGACUUGAGUGCAGAAGAGGAGAGUGGAAUUCCAUGUGUAGCGGUGAAAUGCGUAGAUAUAUGGAGGAACACCAGUGGCGAAGGCGGCUCUCUGGUCUGUAACUGACGCUGAGGCUCGAAAGCGUGGGGAGCAAACAGG
rnacentral:rRNA from 1 species